rnacentral:rRNA from 1 species
AUGUGUGUACCCAAAAAUCAAGGGGGCAUGGGAUUCCGGGAUAUUCAUUGUUUCAACCUAGCAAUACUGGCAAAACAAAGCGUGGCAUUUAUUGAGAAUCCAGAUUCCUUAUGUGCGACCGUGUUGAGAGCUAAAUAUUUCCCAAACGGUAAUUUAUUAAAUACAAAGCUAAGAAAGGCUCUUCUUUUACUUGGCAAAGUAUUAUGGCAGGGGUUAAUUGUCUAA